rnacentral:lncRNA from 1 species
CCCCCCCCCCCACCUAUCCAAAUCAUCUUCUCCAAACACCACAGCCCCCUCCCUCCCUCACCCCCCACCUAUCCAAAUCAUCUUCUCCAACUACCCCAACCCCCACCCACCCCACCCCAUCCCACCAAAUCUCCUUCUCCAAAUAAUGACGUUAAAGUAAAAGACCUUUAACAAGAUUCGUGAUUCCCAAAAAGAUUCGUGAUUCCCAAAACAGAGGAUCCAACAUGUGGCCGCCAACAUAAAUUAAAUUUCAUGUGAAUAUUAAGGUUCACAUAUUGUGUCAGUCUCUUCCGCUACCUCCUAAUUUUCAUAUUGGUAAAUCAAAAUGGGACACGAAUCUUCUCUCUCCACCUUGUCAAUUUUUUUUUGAAAAAACUCCCUUUUUACAGAUUCUUGAUUGCAUAAUAGUAGUCGAGUAAUUUUGUUGUGUGUUGAGAGAAAUAUGGUUGUGGGGGUUCUUGCUUUACAGGGAUCUUUCAAUGAACACAUAGCAGGUCCUAUUAGAAUUCUCUCUUUUCAUGUUCCUUUUUUGUGUUUCUAAUUGGUUCAAGUUGCUAAGUUUUUUCUGUUAAUUCGAUUAACGAAGAGGAAAUCAUUUUAAGAAGGGAACCACUUUAAGAAAUAAAAAUGGUUAAAAUCAACAAAACAAAAAUUCAACCAUUUUUGUUGAUUUGCUGCUGCUCAACAUUGAAUAGUGAUCAAGGAAGGGACAUACAAAUUAAAGGGAGAGGAAAGUCGGUGAGAAAGAGUGAGAUAGUGGUAAUAAUGUGUGUAUGUAUCUGGGAGCUUUCUCUGUUAAUUCGAUCAAUGAAGGGAUACAAAUGUGUUAAUAAAGGAAAAGAAAAAUGGUGGAAAAUUAAUGGAUUGAAAAAAGUGAGGAAGAAAGAGAAGAAAGAUGAAAAAUUACGAAAAUACCCCUUAAGAAUUAUGAAAAUACCCCUCAAGAAUUACGAAAAUACCUCUCAAACGCGCUUUCAAUGCGUGUAGCACACGAUUUUUGCUGAUUCGGCAAAGUGUGCCAAAGUGACACACUUUAUGGCUACUUGAGGUGCCAAAAGUGAACAACAUCCACUUGAGGUGCCAAAGUGAAAGAUCGUGCCAAGUUUAGAGGGUUAUCGAUGGGUUUGACCUUUUUUUAGAGCAUAAGAUGGACCAAAAGGGAGUCAUGUCUAAAUAGUUCAAAAAAGCUCAGUUUUUUUUUUAAAUUUAUAAUUUUUGAUUAAUAAUAAUCAUUUUUUUAAAAUAAGUUUUAAAUUAUUUUUAAUAAUUUGGAUCAGNNNNNNNNNNNNNNNNNNNNNNNNNNNNNNNNNNNNNNNNNNNNNNNNNNNNNNNNNNNNNNNNNNNNNNNNNNNNNNNNNNNNNNNNNNNNNNNNNNNNNNNNNNNNNNNNNNNNNNNNNNNNNNNNNNNNNNNNNNNNNNNNNNNNNNNNNNNNNNNNNNNNNNNNNNNNNNNNNNNNNNNNNNNNNNNNNNNNNNNNNNNNNNNNNNNNNNNNNNNNNNNNNNNNNNNNNNNNNNNNNNNNNNNNNNNNNNNNNNNNNNNNNNNNNNNNNNNNNNNNNNNNNNNNNNNNNNNNNNNNNNNNNNNNNNNNNNNNNNNNNNNNNNNNNNNNNNNNNNNNNNNNNNNNNNNNNNNNNNNNNNNNNNNNNNNNNNNNNNNNNNNNNNNNNNNNNNNNNNNNNNNNNNNNNNNNNNNNNNNNNNNNNNNNNNNNNNNNNNNNNNNNNNNNNNNNNNNNNNNNNNNNNNNNNNNNNNNNNNNNNNNNNNNNNNNNNNNNNNNNNNNNNNNNNNNNNNNNNNNNNNNNNNNNNNNNNNNNNNNNNNNNNNNNNNNNNNNNNNNNNNNNNNNNNNNNNNNNNNNNNNNNNNNNNNNNNNNNNNNNNNNNNNNNNNNNNNNNNNNNNNNNNNNNNNNNNNNNNNNNNNNNNNNNNNNNNNNNNNNNNNNNNNNNNNNNNNNNNNNNNNNNNNNNNNNNNNNNNNNNNNNNNNNNNNNNNNNNNNNNNNNNNNNNNNNNNNNNNNNNNNNNNNNNNNNNNNNNNNNNNNNNNNNNNNNNNNNNNNNNNNNNNNNNNNNNNNNNNNNNNNNNNNNNNNNNNNNNNNNNNNNNNNNNNNNNNNNNNNNNNNNNNNNNNNNNNNNNNNNNNNNNNNNNNNNNNNNNNNNNNNNNNNNNNNNNNNNNNNNNNNNNNNNNNNNNNNNNNNNNNNNNNNNNNNNNNNNNNNNNNNNNNNNNNNNNNNNNNNNNNNNNNNNNNNNNNNNNNNNNNNNNNNNNNNNNNNNNNNNNAUCUAUUAUAUACCUACAAAUCCGCGCACCCCCCUAUAAAUGGUACAUAUUACUCUCUCACUCAGAUAGCCUGUGUUGAUGAAUAUUCUUCUUAUGGGAUUCCACUGCUUUUGGUCUUGUCCUGAGUAAUAUGUUUGUUUUUUGGUACUAAUAUUCUCCACUCUAUCAUUUUGAAUAGAACUCUACUUAUUAUUUUUCUUAUUAUGGAGCUUCUUUAGUUCCAGGUGAAGUACCCUGCAAUCUACCUCAUUAUGCCCCUGCAACAUACAUUCCUUAUAAUAUUUUGGUAAGAAAUCAUUUUGUAUUUUCAUUUUUCUUCUACUCUUGUAUCCUUGAUCACCUCAAUACCAUUUCAUGAGACAAACUUAGGCAAGUUAACUAGUAAGUUCACCUACAUCUUAACCUUUAGACAACUUUGUCUAGUCUUGUUCAUUGUGUCGCAUCUAGAUGGAUUGGUUUCCCUACUGCGGAAGAAAGACUAAAUAAUGAUUCUUGGACGAAAAGGUUGGUUUUAGAUUAGUGAAAAUAUCCAAACCAUUGCUUAGGUCGUUUCAUCAUUUAAAUUAAAUUUAGCAUCAUAGAUCAAUGGUCUCAUUUGAUAAGAAUACCCAUCCUUAGUGGAGAAGUAGUAAAUAUUUUUUGACAGAAUAUUUAAAAAAUCCUCCAUAAGAUUGAACCUAAUGAGGAUAUGUCUGUUUCUCAACAAACCUAUCUUACAUUCACCUUUCAUAUUAAUCAACUUAGGAAUUAAAGUUCUCAAUUCAUCCAACUCCGGCCAACAAUAUGAAAACUUUCCCAUUACUGCAUAUUGUAGGUUCUUAAUAGUGUUCAUGCAUUUUAUCUCCUCCUCUGUCCACAUAACUCUUGGAACUCCAUCAACAUAUGAUAACUUUUUAAUUGGAAUUAGUUCAAAUGUAUGAUUUAACACUUUUGGACGGUUAUUGAUUAUAGGUUUGAGCAAAUCAGCAUAUUGACCACUCUUUGAUGUGCUUGCAUGCAUGGGAGAUCUGGUAGACUAUAACACACUUGUAUCACUAGAUUAUAUAAGUAGUGGAAGGAAAUCUUUAGUAUUAUGGUCACAAUAGGACUGACCUCCAUGGAGGGCAGACCAAUGGGUUGAUUGGCCAUACUCCGGCAUUGUCACAGCUGGAAUUAGAAUUUUUCAUGGCUAGGGUUCUUGAGGGUUUUUUAUCAAGAAUCCUGGGGAAGGGGAGUGUAAUGCCUGUGCUUUUUCUUAGCUUAAAAAUCCUCUCAAGGAUGUUAUAACUUGCUUUGAAAUAACAAUUCAUUCUUAUACAUGUGGUAUUUCCAUACUUUUCACUUCCUAUUACAUGUUUGAUGAAAUGCUCCUAUGAAGGUAGUAUGUACUAUGAUGAUAGUAAAGUCUUUAAGUAAAUAAUGUUAUGCCAGUUUCCUUCUAUUGAGUCCUGGGGGUACUUGUACCCGAAAUAUUAGUUGUGUGCCUAGAUCCAUGUCAUGUUUUUAUGAUUCUCUCAGUCAAGCUAUGAACUCUUAGACUUCAGAUAGUCUUAUGACUCAGGAAAAAUCUCCACAAUCUUAUGACUCAGUCAGUUGUCAGAUAUCAGUAGUAUUCCACCAGCCACAAAAAUUUAGUAACUCAGUCCAUGCUCAGUAUAGUUCAGUAAAUCAUGUUCAGUGUCCAUUCAUAUGGGAGUAGGAAUUAGCACCGAAUGAACCCAAGGAUGGGGAAUCACCUGUUAUACAAGGGUUUGAUUCUUAGAAGCAAUCCUUGUAUUCCAGAACCAUGUAACCGUCAUAGGUUGAGACAUUGUAGCCUGUUAUAUGAGGGUAGAUGAGGUGGCUUAACCUGUUAUGUGAGGGUUCCCACCAUUCUCGAUAGAGUUACCUGUUAUAUGAGGGUUACUCACAUGUUGUCCUUACCAGUGGCGCGGUAUUGACACCCUUCCAAUCAGGGCAUAGAUUGGACCCCAGCUUAGCUAUCAUAGCACAUUUGGGGCAUGUCGAUUAGAAACUACUUCCCAUAGUUUCAUGUUACAGAAUCAGGAUUGUCAGAUAUAGUUAAUCAGUCUCAAUAAUAGAACUCAGAUAGUUCUUCAAAUUUCAAGACUGUCAGACAUAAUCAACUCAGACAUGGUACAGAACUCAGAUAGUUCUAUCAGAUUCAGGACUGUCAGACACAGUCACCCAUGUUAUCAGUUAUAUUCAGAUACAGUUAUUUAUGUUAUCAGUUAUGUCAUGUUAUCAGUAUCUAUACUCAGUAUUCAUGCUACCACGGUAUCAGUAUCAUGUUAUCACAUUGUCAGUUACAGUUGUGUAUUUAUGUAUGCAUUCUCACAUUCAUGUUAGGCAAUCAGUUAGUAUUGAUCAUGCAUGGAAACCCUUGCAUAUAGCGUACCUCACAUAUAUACUCAGUAUAUUCCAUUGUACUGAUGCAUUUGCGCUAUGGUGCUUUCUUUUUAUGUUACACCAUAGGUUCAGAGACACGAGUUCCAGUUUAACAGUAGAUUCUAGAUUUAGCAGUCAGAGUAGAAGUGAGUCAUCAUCCUUCAAGGACAUAAUGAUUUUUUUAAUAUCUUAUUGAUUAGCUUAUUAGUUGGAGUUAGUUGGGGACAUGUCCCAUCAGCUCCUUAUUCAGAUUCUUCAGACAGUAGAAACUUUCAGACUAGAUGCAGACUAGAUACAGACUAUUAUGUUUUAGACUUCAAUUUUGUUUUGGAUAUUCUAUUACCCUACACAGAUGUUAUGUUAUUCAGUUAUGUUGAUGAUCGAACCUUAUAGCCUUUCAGUGCAUGUUUCUACAUUAUUAUGUUAUCUUAUGCAGUAUACAGGUAUAGAUAUCAGUCAUGGUUUAGCUUAUGGUCCUUUGGGGUCAUGACCACCGUGUAGCAUUCUGGUUCAACAAAUUAGGUUGUUACAAACUUGGUAUCAGAGCCUAAGGUUCAAUAGAGUCCUAGGAAAUCUGAAAGCCGCUAGUAGAGUCUUGUGCAUGGGUGUGUUGCGUGCCACAUUUAUCUUCAAGAGGAUAUGAGAUGUUUUAAGAACAGUUUCCCUUUUUUCAGUAUUCAUGUCGUGACUGUGAGCAUAAUCACAAGUCAGUAUCUCAGUCUAAUUCGCUUCUUCUAUUUAUUUCAGAACAUGCCUCUUAAGAGAAGAAAUCAGUCAGCCCCUCAGCUCGAAGAACCCUUAGGUAAUCAUGUUUCUCAUGCGGAGUUCAGGACUGCAUUUACCACUCUUGCUCAAUCAGUCGCUGCUUAUAAUCAAUCGAAUGUGUUUGAUAUGAAGAAUAUAUAUNNNNNNNNNNNNNNNNNNNNNNNNNNNNNNNNNNNNNNUAUAGUAUUGGGGCGAGGGCCAGUGAUUGGGUCAGGGGAAGUGGGGUAUGAGGGGUUGGGGUCGUUGAGCGGGGGCUGGGGUUGAGGUGGAAUAUUUAGGAUGGAGAAGAGACAAUCUGUGUUAAAUGCAACUUAAGAAAAAAAAAUUAUUUUACAAGAGAAGUUAUUUUUCUGAUUUUAAGGAAUUUGUUUUUUAAAAAAGAAUAGAGCAACUUUACUCUAGCUUGUCUUCUUAUUCAACUCGUACAGUUAUGUUGUAAUUCAUAGUAAUAGCAAUGAAAUAGUAGAGAAGUAGAAGCAUUAAGAAUGGAAAUAAGAAGUAGAGAGGAUGAAGAAGUGUAGAGAGAUAAGUGAAUUUCAUUGAUUAACUUAUGAAGUGAAAAUGUGCAUCUUUUUUACAUAACAAUACUGUGUAUAUAGAGUAUUUGAAUGAUUAGGUAUCAGUCUACUCAAAUUAACUAACUAACAGAAAAUAAUUAAUAACCAACUUUGUGAAAACAGUGUUAACUCUUUCAGAAUGUACUCUAAUCUAUAGGAUUUAUAUUUCAAUACUUCUCCGCUAGGUGGGAUGAAAGAUGUCUAAUAUCCCAAGCUUGGACUUAGGUACUCACUUUGAACUUGUUGUAUCGGGUGCACAAUCUGUAUGUUUAUACAUUAAACUUUAACACAAGUUCAUAACUAUCUCAAGAACACUUAUGAAGUUUUUCAACACUUUCAACACAAGUUCAAUAUGACCUAUCAAAGAAGUUUGUUGUAGAUAAGAAAUAAGAUGAAAUAGAAAUUAAAUCCAAGUCCUCUGAAUUCACGGAGUGUCCUUAAGGAAAUAAUUUUCCUCAAGUACCCAAGGUUGCGGAAUUUUUCUCUCAGGCUAAAAUAGCUUACAAUCCGACAGUAGCGGUACCUCAAACUAUAAGAUUCUUUGAACUCACUCAACAGUAGAUGAUCACAAUGAGUUUUUAGAAGACAAAAAGUGUUUUUCAGCUCUCAAAAAAAUAUUUUUGUACUUGAGGAAUAAGUUAGGUAUUUAUAGCCAUUAGAUGUCUCUUUGGAAAGGAAGCAUUGGUUCUGGAAAAUUGCAUUAUUUCUGAACAGUCACGUCACCUGCGCCCAGUCUGUGCUGGAACUGCACCUGACCUACGGCCGUAGGUGAUGUUUCGCCCAUUCCAGUGGCUUCUACGCUUGACAUAUGUCUGACCUGCAUUCGCAGGUCGCCCUUUUUUGAAACAGUGUGUCUUUUUUUUAAAGGUCUCAUUCCUUUUGAGAUGCAUCACGCAUGCAUUUUACGGAGUCUGAAAUGCGCACGCAUAUGGAGAAAAUUAUUCCAUUGGAUUUUUGAAUUAAAGCUUUACUUGUUUUAUAAGUUUCAAAUAAAAUUUGUCGUAAAAAUUAAUUUCAUUGAUCGAUUGCCAAAUCCAAAUCGGAAGCCGAGAUGGGCGAGCGGCGAUGACGGCGGCGCGAGGCACCUCUUUGUUCUUGUCUCACUAUCCAUGUGGAGAUCUUUUUCUUAAUAAGAACACAUGAAAGCUUCUCUCUCCCACUAAUGUGGGAGAAUUAGUAGACUUUCCAUAUUUUGUAGUACACUUUCCUUUUUUGUGUGUGAUCUCAUUUUUUCCACCACCAAUUUUCUCUAUUUACUAUUCACACUUUUAACUUGAUCCCAAUAAUCCCCCACGUGAAUGGGGCAUGACUAUCUUAUCAAGAAUUUAUGGACAAGCAUGUGAUCAUUAAGAAAAUACUGAUUGCAUCUGGAUAAAUGGAUUUCUCUUUAAACUUUCCAUAGUGAACAUGCAUCGAAUGUACUCGGUCAAUCGGUAGAUUUUAUAUUUUUGAACCAUUGAGCUUUAAUGUAUACCUAGACAACACAUGUCACAUAAUCAGCCUUUUAUCAUUUAUGGUUCUCACUAUUUUAUUCAUUUUAGCCAUGAACAUCUCCCAGUUUCAUGAGAGCUUAGAGAAUAAGCCUUUACUAAUAUUCUCCUUAAAGAGUCUUCCACUUCACCCUCAUAUAGGUGAUUUAUAAACGUUCAAUUCCUAUAGAUAAAACUGUUUGGUUAAAUCUACCAAAUUUAGAUAACCAUUAAAAGACUUCACACCUUAAGUAUUAUCCUUAUUCACUAAACAUUGUCUACAUCAUGAGAAUGAGUUAGGUAUAUUGCCAAUGUUGAACCUGUCGAAAACAACUUUGAUGGAUCUCCUUGAACCUAGAUCUUUGGAUCUCCAGUCUGCUAGGUAGAGUUACCACUAUGCUGACUUGUCCUAGGUCGUAAGCUCAUUCCCUUUGAUAUUCUCUCAACUCUAUCUCUAGAUAGGCCUUUUAUAAGUAGAUCUGACACAUUAUCCUUUGACUUUACAUAGUCAACAGUGAUAAUUCCACUAGAGAUAAGUUCUCUAAUGGUAUUAUUUCUUCGUGUUAUAUGAUGAGAUUUACUAUUAUAUAUCAUGCUCCCUGCCCUACCUAUCAUCGUUUGGCUGUCACAGUGUAUACAUACUGGUGCCACUAGUUUGGGCCAAUAAGAAAUAUCUUCGAAGAAAUCUCAAAGCCAUUCAGCUUCUUCAUCGGCUUUAUCUAGUGCGAUAAACUCAUAUUCCAUUGUGGAGUGAGGAAUACAUAUCUGUUUGGACGAUUUCCAAGAGACUGCUCCUCCACCUAUAGUAAAUACAUAUCCACUCAUGAAUUUUACUUUAUUUGAUCUGGUGAUCCAAUUUGCAUUACUAUAUCCUUCAAUUACUAUGGGAUAUUUAUUAUAAUGCAAAACAUAGUCUUUAGUGUAUUUAAGAUACCCCAAAACUCUUUUCAUUUCCAUCCAAUGAGUUUUAUUGGGAUUACUCGUGUACUGACUUAACUUACGAAUACCACAUGCUAUGUCUGGCCGUGUACAAUUCAUGAUAUAUAUCAAACAUCCCAACACUCUUGCAUAGUCCAACUGUGAGUUACUUUUACCUUCAUUAUUUUGAAAUGCAAAGCUCACAUCCAAUGCAGUCUUGGUAAUACCAAAUUCCAAAUACUUAAACUUGUCAAGUAGCUUUUUAAUGUAAUGAGAUUGUGACAAUGUCAACCCUUGUGGAGUUCUAUGGAUUUUUAUUCCUUAGAUCGCAUCUGCAACUCCAAGAUCUUUUACAUCAAACUUGAUUUCAAGCAUUCGCUUUAUAGCAUUUAUGUUAGAAAUGUCUCUACUAAUGACCAACAUAUCAUCCACAUACAAACAAACAAUAACCUUGUGAUUUGGAGUGUCUUUAAUGUAAACGCAUUUAUCAUAUUCGUUUAUCUUAAACCCAUUUGCCAACAUGGUUUGGUUAAACUUCGCAUGCUACUGUUUAGGUGUUUGUUUUAUUCCUUAUAGUUACUUAACAAGUUUACACACCUUUUUUUCUUUACCUAGAACCAUAAAACCCUCAGGCUGUUCCAUGUAAAUUUCUUCCUCCAAUUUUCUAUUUAGGAAUGCUAUUUUCACAUCCAUUUGAUGGAUUUCAAGAUCAUAUACCGCUGCCAAGACAAUUAACAUCCGAAUAGACGUUAUCCUCAUUACAGGCGAAUAUGUAUCAAAGUAAUCAAGGUCUUCCUUCUGUUUAAAGCCUUUUACUACAUGUUUUGCCUUGUAUUUGUCAAUAGCAUCAUCUGCUUUUAUUUUUCUUUUAAAGAUCCAUUUAGAACCUAAAGGUUUAUUUUCUAGAGAAAGAUCAACCAACUCCCACGUAUGAUUGCUUAAGAUUGAAUCAACCUCACUAUUGAUUGUCUCUUUCCAAAAGGAUAAGUCUAAAGACGUCAUUGCUUUUUUAAAUGUUUAAAGCUCAUUUUCUAAGAGAAAUUUUACAAAAUAAGAUCCAAAUGAUGUUGACGUUCUUUGAAGUAUACUACAUCUUGGAUUCUCAUCAUUAUGUACAACCUUACUUGGUUUAUCUCGAGGUCAUUUAGACCCACCACUAGACUGUUCAUGUCUAGUUUUAUACGGAUAAAUGUGUUCAAAAAAUUCAGCAUUAUCUGAUUCAAUUAUUGUAUUUUCAGUGAUAUCCAAAUGUUUGAAUUUAUUAACAAAAAAACCAACAUGCCUUACUACUUUUAGCAUAUUUUAUGAACAUGCAGUCCACUAUCGUAGGUCCUAUUUUCACCCUUUUAGGCAUAGAAAUUUAGACUUUUGCUGGACACCCCCACACCUUGAAAUAUUUCAAGUUGGGUAUCCUUUCUUUCUAUUUUUCAUAUAGAAUUAAUAAUGUCAUACUGUGGGGCACUUUAUUGAGUAUUCAAUUAGCUGUAAGGAUAGCUUCCCUCCAUAUGUUUUGCAGUAAACCUAAACUUAUUAGUAAGGCAUUCAUUAUUUCCUUCAAGGUUUGGUUUUCUCUUUCCGUAAUUCCAUUAUAUUAAGGUGAAUACGGGAUUGUAGUUUUAUAGACAAUUCCAUUCUCUAAACAUAUUUCUGCAAAGGAAGAUUCAUAUUCUCUACCCCUAUCACUUCUUAUCAUUUUGAUCUUUUUCUCUAACUGAUUUUCAACUUUUGUUUUACAUUGCCUAAAUGCAUCUAUUGCUUUAUCGUUAUUGUUUAGCAAAUAGACAUAAUAGUAGGUAGUGCAAUCAUCAAUAAAAGUUAUAAAAUACUUUUUUCUACCAUGAGAUGCUGUUGACUUCAUAUCACAAAUAUCAGUGUGCAUUAAGUGUAAGGGAUUGGAAUUCUGUUCAACUGACUUAUACGGAUGGUUAGCAUACUUUGAUUCCAAACACGUUUGACAUUUUGAUUUAUUGCACUCAAAGUUUGGCAAAUCUUCUAAGUUAAUCAAUUUUUGCAAUGUUUUGUAAUUGACAGGCCCUAAUCGUUCAUGCCACAAAUCACUUGUCUCAAGCAAGUAAGAAGAAACAAAACUUUUAUUGAUUUCAACAUUCAUUACAUUUAUCUUAAAUAGGCCCUCAGUGAGGUAGCCUUUUUCUAAUGUUUCAGUUAACUUAGUAUUCCAUUGUCUUUGUGUUUGUUUCAAACCAUAUAAGGAUUUAACUAGACAACAUAUCAUAUUUUUUCCCGACUAGUGAAUCCUUGUGGUAGUUGUGCAUAUAUAUACAAAUACAUAUAUACAUAUAUAUGUAUAUAUAUAUGUAUGUAUGUAUGUAUAUUAUCAUUGAGAUCACCUUAAAUAAAGACAUUAUAUACAUCCAUUCGAUGUCUAUGCCACUUCUUGGAUAAAGCUAAUGACAAAACUAUUACAAUUACCAUCUUGACAACUGAAGAAAAUGUCUCCUCAAAAUCAAUUCUUUCUUGUUGACUAUGUCCUUUAGCUAUAAUUCUAGUUUUAAACCUAUAAACAUCACCAUUUACUUUAAACUUUACCUUAUAUACUCAUUUACAACCUAUAUUUAAUACCCCAUAUUUCUACCUAGCUUAAAAUUGUCCCAGAAAUAUUUUAUCAUGUGUAAAAUUAAAUAAGAUUUCCAUCGAUACUAAAUUCAUUCAAAUCUGACACCCGAGCGAAGAGUUAGAGCCAUUUUGGUAACAUAGUGUGCCACCUGAGCCAUCAACGUGUCACGGAGCCAGCCAAAAUGGCAAUUGUCAAAAUCUAGUGAGCCUCCUCGAUUAUGGCACAUCACGCCAAUGCUCAAAUUCAAAGUUGUCAAAUUCUAGUGACACGGAGUGAUAGCACCGCGUCAUGCCAGGGGUCCAGGUCGAGAAAUUUUCACUGAAUUAAAAUACGCAUCUAAGGAUUAAAAGAGUCAAUUUUUCACCCUUAUAUAUACCCAAUAAUAUGUGAUUCAGCAAUAAUUCCCCCAAAAUAUAUUGUUUCUCUCAAGUUUCUCACAAGAACAAAGGUUUUCAAUAGGGGAUUCGAAUCCAAGACUUGAAUUCAAGAAUCUCUCCAUCAAUCUUUGUAGAAUCAAGAACUAAGGUAUGCACAGUGUUCAUUCAUGGAUUUAUUUCAUCCAUGAAGCCCAAGAAUCAAGUUUUAAAUCUUGUAUUGUAAAUAUUUUAUUGUCGGUUGAUUAUGUUCAUGUGAUUAUGGUUGUAUGAUUUCCAAGUUGGAAUCUUUAUGUGUUGUUCAUGAACCUAUGCUAGUGUGCGGUCUGAAGCAUAUGAAAUUGAGUUAAAAUAUGGAGUUUUUUUGUAUUAAUUUGAUGUUCAUGCCUAUGCCCUAAGUCAUGCAUCGUAGGUGUUUGAUAAAAUGCCUAAGAGAAUAUAAAUUAUGCAUUAUAGCUUAAUUGUGACCCAAGUGAUAAGUGUAUACUUUACCCUAUGACUAAAAAUAACUUCCAUGAUAUUGUGUGCAUUAUGAAUGGUUGAGGGAAUGUCCAUGAGAUUAGGUUGAUGAAAGUAUGACAUGUUUAUAUGCAAUUCCAUUCAUGUACAAGACUAUGAUAACCAUGAGCUUCAUGAAAUCCCCAAAUUAAUGUAUUAUGAAUUUUGAUAUUGGUCAUGUGUUCAAGAAGUGUCAUGUCCUAUCAGUUUCAUGCUAUCAAGUCCUGGGGGUACUUGUACCCGAUAAUUUAGCUGUGUGCCUAGAGCCAGUGUCAUGUUUUAUCGAUACUCUCAGUUAAGCUAUGAUUCUUAAAAUUCAGUCAGUCUUAUGACUCAGGAAAACUCAGUAAAUUCACUAUCAGUCUUGCCCUACUUAGUAAUCUCAGUGACCUCAGUGGUCAUUAACAUCAGUACUCAGUAAUCUCGGUAACCUCAGUAUACCCAAAAAUCUCAGUAACUUCAGUACUCUCCGUUAAUCCUCAGAUCUCAGUAGCAUUCCGUCAGUUAAUAGAACUCAGUGAACUUAGUUUAGCUCUGCUAAAUAAUACCAUUAGUAUCAGUUUAGUUCAUUUAACCAGUUUAGUGUCUAUUCAAUUGGGAGUAGGAUUCAGUACUAAAUAAACCCAGGGAUGAGGACACACAAUGUCAGCCAGUAGAGGGUGUGAUCCUUAGUAGCAAUCCCUGCAUUCCAAAACUAUGUAGCCAGCGUAGGUUGAGAUUUACCCCUACGAGUCUAGGUACUAUACAUAUCUCAUUUGAGUUUUCCUUACAUAAGGGUUGACGGAAGAGCUCCCUAUCAGAGAGAGUUUACUCAUAGCUUUUCUUUACACGUGGCAUGGUACUGACACCCUUCCAGCUAGGGUUACCGGUUGGAUCCCACUAAUUUAGUUUUGGGGCAUAUCGGUUAGAUGAUUACCUCCACAGUCUGAGUUUCAGAUCUAGUUUCAGUAAUAGAACUCAGUUCAGUUCUACAAAAAUCCAGGAUUGUCAAAUAUAGUCAAAUAAGUACAGUGCGGAACGCAGCUUGUUCCAACAAUAUAAGGACUGUUAGAUACAGUCACUCAUGUUAUCAGUAUUCAGACUCAGUAAUCAUGUUAUCACAAACUCAGUUAAUGGUAUAUUAAUUAUACAAAACCCAUGUUAUUAGUAUUCAAUUUCAAAACUGUCAGAUACAGUCAAUCAGACCAGUUCUUCAUAAUCAAAACUGUCAGAAAUAGUCAUCCAUUUAUCAGUAAUAUGACAUUAGUUCCUCAGUACUCAAUAGACUCAGUCAUUCAGUAUCCCAGUAUUAGUACUCAGAUAUCAGUAAAUCAACGUUAUUUGAAUUCAUGAGUCAGCAUUAUAACGAUCUCAGUUAUAGUUACGUAUUCAUGCAUGUAUUCUCAUGUUCAUGUUAUACAUUCAGUUAUUAUUUUCCAUGCAUAUGAACCCUUGCAUUUAGACUACCUCACUUACAUACCAAUAUAUUUAAUAUAUUGACGCAUUUGCGCUAUGGUGUUUUAUACCAUAGAUUUAGAAGCACGAGCUCCCGAGAAUCCUUAGUAGAUCAGACAUUCAGCAGCCAGACUAACAGUGAGUCCUCAUCAUUAGAGAAUAACAUGAUUAUUUUAUUACUUUAUUAUUUUAGUAGUUCGGAGUUAGUUGAGGAUAUAUCCCAUCAACUCCACAGUUUGUUAGAUAGUUUAGAGGCUUUUAGACUAUAGCAUGUGUUCAGAUAGUUUAUUUCAGUUUUGGGUAUUGUCUUACCCCACUACAUAUAUUGUAUUAUAUUCAAUAUUUGUUUAGUUUUGAACCUUAUGGCCUUACAACUUAUAUUCUGCAUAUUUAUAAUAUAUUAUUCAAUGCUUAGUUAUAGAUAUCAGUCAUGGGUUAGCUUAGGGUCCUUCGGGGACAUGAGCACCGUGUAGUGUUUCAAUACCAUAUUCGGGGCGUUACACUAUUACAGACUUCAUUGUAGGUAGUGGAACCACCUCUCAUGUCUUGUUAUUCUCUAAGGUUGUGAUAUCCUUCCGCAUAGCCUAAAUUUCUCUUGUAUCUUUUGUGGCUUCUUGGUAUGUUGCAAUUUCUGUAAUAGAUGAAAAGGCAGUGAUGCAAGAUUUCUAACCAUUAGAAAGACCUACAUAAAAAAUAUAUUUAUCAAGUCCAUAUGGAUUAUCUUUGUGUAUGUUGAGAGACAAAAAGUUCUUUAAUCAAAUAGGUGGUUGUUUGUCUCUAGAUAAUCUUCUAGAAAGUAUAUGUAGUGGUAUUGCAAUACUUGGUUGCUUGAUAACGCUCAAAUUAAUCUCAGAUUUAAGGGGUAAGGCAAUCAUUAUCAAUAGCCUAACUCUCGUUGGGGUCGAAUCCACAACGAGUGAACUUCAAACUUUGAAUCCUAUGGGUGUUCUAGUUACUUAUAAGGAUACCUAAAGUCCGUGCAAAAAGAAACAUGUAAUGUAAAGUGGGGGGAGUUUGGUUUGAAGUUGGAUUGUAUCAAUACGGAGUCAUAACAAUCUAUAAUAGUACUUUUGAUUUAAAGUCAAAUUUGGAGAAAAUCUUGGGAUUAGGUCUACCUAAAGGCAAUGCAUUCGUGGGAUCAUGAUAGUUUAGCAUGAAAUCUAGUUGUUGAAUACAAGAUAGUCUAGGUCAAAAGUGUUUGCGGUUGGUUUGUCAAUCAAACCUCAAAUAUUUCACCUAUUAGGUUUUUUGAGCACCUAACAAGUGUAUCCAUCAUAGUGACCCAAAAACCUCAAUCGGACAUCCCUAUUCUAUGAAAAUGCACAUGGCAUGACUUACACUCUAUUUACACUUAUUUCUAAGAUUGCAAAAGGUAGUAAAUCGCAUAUUCAAUUGUCCACCAUUGUCUUGCCCCUCUAUAGCCCUUUUAAAGAUUGACAUGGGUUUCUUAAGGUCCACCCUUAUCCCUCUUCCAAGGAUGAUGAAAGUUGUAAAUAUUUUGGGGUUUUCACCCAUCAAACCCAUUUGAACAAUUGGGGUUUUCACCUAUAAAGUUCAACCAUUAAGCUCAAGCAAUGGUGGAAUCCAUAAUCAACAACUAAAAAUCAUAUAAACCCAUCAAUACCCAUAACACAAAUAGCAUUAUAGCUCAACAUGAUUCCAAGACUAAAAUAAUUUAGCUACUCAUAAAGAAGGUAAAGAAAGAUAUACCAUUAUAUGGAUUGUUUAAAGAAUUCAUCCUUCACAAAUACAAAAAAUUAAAGCCUCCAAAAUUAGUUACAAAGCUUGCCCAAUUUAGGGUUCUUGUUUUGAAUUAAAAGUGUCUACAAUGUAAGCAAUACCUAAAGAAGAAAGGGUUUUAUCCAAUCACCUAUGCAGUUCCUGAUGACUCCCCCAAUCCCCCCUUCUCAGGGUUUCCAAUACAAGACUUAUCCGUGUUCAGUUUAAAAGAGUUGGGGAUGGGGGAGUUCCAUUUAAGAGUAAUGGUUAAUGUAGGAGUGGUUAUUGUGGUUGUUCCCAGGUGGUGGUACUCCAUAGCUUCAGCAUGAGGUAUACUGAAAUAAGGGACUGAGCUAGCAUUUUAGAAGGUGUUAGCAUUCCUCACCUUCCAAAGUUUCCAGAAGCUGUGGGGUAGCAGGGUGGCCCAAGGAAUAUUAUUGUCAAAACUAUGUUUGUUCACCCUUUCCCAAGUAGUGGACCAAUUGUUGGGAUCGAACAUGGAGAAGUGGAUGAAGAUGAUACCUAUGUAUUUAUGCAUAAGUUGGUCCCAGAAGGUCUUGGCUAAGUUUCACCCAAAGAAGAUGUGGUGUUGAUCUUCCUGAGAGUCAUAGCAGUGGUGGCACUGGGUAUUAACAUUGAUGCCUCUUUUGUGGAGGGUGAUUUUUGUAGGGAGGUUAUUGUGGUGCAUUAGCCACAUAAAUGUCUUGAUAUUGUUAGGGACUUUAAGAUGUCAUAUCCUAGUGGAGGAUCUGUGGGAUCUUUGAGGUCCCCUCUAUCUGGUGGCAAUGUACUGGCAGGCACUUUUAUAGGUGAAGGUGCAAUCUCCUCUAAGUCUCCAGUGAGGGGUGUCUUGCCUGAGAUGGGUGCUUUGUAUAAAAAUUUUCUGCAUAGUGUGAGUGAUGUUUGGGUGGACAUCAAAGUAAAGUGGAGUGAAAUCCCAUAUUCUAUCCCUCUAAAUGUCUUUAACCAUGACUUGGUUGUAGGAGUCAGUGGUGGGCCCCUAGAUGAUAGUGAAGAGGGAGGGCAUCCCAGGGAUCCAUCUAUCCUCCCCAAGUAUUCACUUUAGUGCCAUCAUUUAUGGCCCAAAUAAGGCAUCUUUGCAGAGGUUCCAACAGUUGGUUAUAUUACACCAAGUCCUGGAACCUUUGUUGUACCCCUUUCUGCUAGCCCCAUACUUUGCAAUGAGGGUAUUGUCCCAGAGGGAGUUAGGAUUAGAAUACAUUCUCCAACCCAAGCUGCAAAGAAGGGCUUCAUUCUUGAAAUCAUCCCUUUGCAUUCCUAACCCACCAUCCUUCUUAGGGAGGGUGAUGGUGUCCCACCUAAAAAGGUACAUUCUUGUUUUAGUAUCAGUGGUGCCCCAUAUAAAAUUCCUUUGAGUUCUGUCAAUCAGUUUAUGCAUAGUUUUAGGAAGCUUGAUGUAUUGCAUAAUAUGAUUAGGAAUGCUAUCUAUGGAGGAUUUAGCUAAAGUAACCAUACCAGUCAUGUUGAGAAACUUAAGUCUUCACCCUGUCAACUUAUUUUUCAGGUUAUCAAUGAUGAAGUAGAAGUCACCCUUGACAGGUUUUUUAUGGUAUAUAGGGAAACCCAGGUAUUUUCCAAAGUGAUUAGAGCGUUGAAUUCCUAAGAGGGUAGAGAGGUUCCCCUACUCUUCCAAACCACAAUUUCUGGAGAAGAUGACCUUAGAUUUGGCAAAGUUAAUUCUUUGGCCUGAGUGAGAGCUGAAGCAGGGGAGAAUUCUACUAAUGAUAUGGCAGUAUUUUGCAUCAACUCUAGCAAAGAGAGUAAGGUCAUCAGCAAAGAAGAGAUGGGAGAUGCGAGGGCCUUCCAUGGAAAUGGAUAUUGGAGUCCAUUGGAGGGUGUCCACUUUAAAGGUAAUCCUCCUGACAAGAGCUCCAUGCAGAGAAUAAAGAGAUAGAAGGACAUGGGGUCCCCUUGUCUGAUGCCCCUGGUAGGGUUGAAAGGAGUGGUCUUCCCCCCAUUGACUAGGAUGGAUAUGGAAGAGGUUGAGAUACAAGACAUGAUGAGUUUUAUGAGGUUUGGAGAAAAGUUAAAGAAGGAAAAGGCCAGCCUAAUAAAUGACCAUUCAAGCUAGUCAAAAGCUUUUUCCAAGUCAAUUUUUAGGAGCAUGUUGGACUUCUUACCCUUCAUUUUGGAGAAGUGAGUGACAUACUCCUGAAUAAUGAUAGCAUUAUCACAGGCUCUUCUCUUAGCCAAAAAGCUGGAUUGAGAGGGACCAAUGAUAUUGGUAAGGAAAGGUUUGAUCCUGGUAGCUAUGAUCUUAGUGAUUAUUUUAUAUUGGGUAUUGAAAAGUCCAAUGGGUCUGAAGUUCCUGAGAGUGGUUGCAUUCUUAUACUUAGGGAUGAGGCAGAGGUAGGUGGAGUUAACUAUGGAGUCCAUAGAGAAAAAAGUAAAGGUAUCCUGGCAGAACUUCACUAUGGGAGGCCCCAGGGUGAUACAAGAUUGACAAAGGAGUCACAAAACAAACACCAAAAUAGUCCACAAGUUGGAAGAACCGAAAGAACACAAAGUCUCGGUUUUGGGACACUAAACCCGAGAGUGAACAACUAAGACAAUGAAAUAGAUAGUUAGAUAAGUAACUUGACAUACAAAUGUACAAACACUAUGAACCUAAGUGUAUAUUAAACACAAAGACCCAAGAAUUCAUACAAGUAAAACCAAGCUCUACGGUGACCUCAAGGGAACGGGAUUCCCAAGCAACCAACAUUUCAAAACUAGCACCAACACAAGUGAUAUCCACACUUGUUUACAAGGAAUUUACCUUGCGAGACUCUCUCUCUAGGUCUCUCAAAAUAUCACCAAAUCUAUGAGCAAAAUACCUAAUAUGUUCUAUUUAUAGUCUAGGUUAUAACUUAUUACAAAAUGAUUAUAAUGCCCUUACUGAACCAAGACAAAGGGGCGGCCUUCGAGUGUGCAUAUUGGACAGAUUUGGAGUAUUGGGACUUGUUCUCUACACUUCAAAGCUUGUUUCAUUGGUUGGGUAGCCACCCGAGCUCUAGUCUUUACGUAUUGGUCCACAAUCAUGAUUGUACUUGUAUUAUCCUCCCCUUCUUGAAAAAGGAUUCGACCUCGAAUCCAAACCUUGCAAAAUAAUAGGAAGGACAAGCAAACACAAGUUCCUCAAGGUAUGAGGGUUAGGAUUAGUGUAAUCAAUCAUAGCAUCUUGCCAAGGUGGCUCAAAAUUCACACACACCCAAACAUCCCUCUUACCGGAAUACCCUCCCAAGAAAGAGUCAACUAGUCUAUCCAUAUAAGUGUGACAAGAAACAAGGAACAAGAGUUCCUCAUCAAGUGGAAAACAUAGACUUUUCUUGGAAAAACAAGUAGGCUCGAAAACCGAGAUAGGAAGGCUAUAAAUCCCAUGCAUAUUCAAUUCAUUCCAAAAGACAUCCUCAUUACCAUACUUCAAAUGAUCACCGGGAUCAAAUGGGUGGAGUGUCCAUGGACACGGGCUUAGGAUAAAUUUCCUUUUCCCAAUACUACCACUAGUACAAUCAUAUAUCCCCUCUAUACCAGCAUGGUCUACAACAAAAACAACUAGAGGAUCAUCCAUAGUCAAUCGGCCAAUAUGUUCAACAUCACUAUUUUCACACACAAGUUGGUCUUCUUGACUUCCAUAAGACAAUGUACUAUCACUUUCCACAAUAGCCUCAACAUUAGAUGGAUCAAAUAGUGUAUCUACAAUCUCAAGUUGUACAUUAUCAUCACCAAAUGGAGGCAUAUUUGGCUCACCUAAAGACAAAAUACCAUUCACACUUAGUUGGCUACUGGCCUCAUUCACUAGAGUGCAAAAGUUAGUUUGAUUACCUUGUAACUCAUGUGUAGCAUGUCCACUCACAGGAACUUUAUUAGGAAGGCUUGGAUUCUCUAUCAAGUUAUCCAACUCCUUGCAAAAAGAGCUUUCUGUCCCUUCCAUUCUUCCUUCCACUCGGUCCAUUAUUUUUUUCAUUCUUUCCAUUUGGCUACUAAGAUCAUGUUUCAUAUCCAUUAUGGCAGCCAUCAAAUCGUUCAUGGUCACCUUUUCCAAUUCCAUAGUUCCUAAUAAAAGAAAUUCUAAAACAAAAACACAAAAAACAACAAACUAGUUAAUGUUAGAGAAAAAAACAUCCUCACAAGCUCUCAAGCUCUCCCACUUUAAAAUGCCUCUUAAUUGGCCUCACAAGUGUUGGUAACUCGUUUAUACUCCAAGGAGAUUACUUGGUACCAAUUGGGGCUCGAGGUCAAAAUAGAUUCUCUUUUAAAACAACUCAAAGAAAAUACGUACGGACUUCAACCAAGAAACUACAACGAAUUUCAAAACUAUAAAAGCACACAAAGAAACGUAGACACGAAUAAACGGACCCAAAAACUAAUUUACAACCUAGUAUACAAUUACUAGUUCGUUAAUUAGCAAUUGAAUCAACAAAAUGCAACUAAUAAACAAUAAUUAGAAACUAAGAAAUCAAAAUUUUGGGCCUAAAUUUGUCGUGUGAACAGUAAAACGUGAUGUGGCAGCCACGUAUUGGUUGCGGUCUUAACAUAUUUUAUUUUCCAAAAUUAGAAGUCUUGAACAAUUUGUGAUUUGGAAUUGGUGGGAAUUGAUUUAGAAGGAAAACAAGUCUCUAAAUCCUAUCUUCAAAUUCAAAAGUGGAAGACUUGACUUUCUUGUACCAUUUCCCUAAAACAUGGUCCUUAAAUCAUGGAAAUUUGUUGGAAAGUUGUUGAAAAGGUGAUUGUAAGCCUUUGAGUGGAUGUAAAGUCUUUGGACAAGUCUUUCAAGGCUAACAACAAAAUACACUCUCUUUCUUCACUUUCUAAAUCAAACAACCACUUUUUUCAACAAGAUUUGAAGGUGGUGAAGAACACCAAGAACACACUUUGAGUCUUGAAGUUCUAAGGUUCAAGUUGGACCUCACAAACAACAACAACACCUUCUCAAGCUUAAAUUCCACAACACAAUCCCCACAAUACACGUUCAAGUCUCAAACCUGCAACAACAAUCGGCCAUAAUUUGGUUCACAACAACAACAUCAAUAUUUCAAGCUCAAAUCUAGAUCUAGACUCAAGAGUGUUAGUGGUGGAGAAACUAACACUAGAAACAACAAAACAAAUAAAAUGACUUCUAGAUCUAGACAAGAAAAUAAAUUUUUCAUCCAAGACAACGACAAAAUCUAGAUUCAGCCAAGAACUAGAACAAGAUGGACAGAUUUGCUUCUUUUUUAAUUUAUUUUUCAGCUUUUCAAUAAUUUUUUGUUUUUAAUUUUCUAACAAGCAAGCCCAAGAUUGAUUUGUAGGAACAAUAUCUACCCAUGCUAUGAUACCAAAUGAUACAAUAUCAACAAAGGAGACACAAAACAAACAUCAAAACAGUCUACAAAUUGGAAGAAUCGAGGACCCCUUUGGUGACCACUCUCUGAUUCACUACAACAACAACUAAAACACAAUCACAACAAGAUAUUAAGGUGUUCAACACCUCUAAAAUUAUUUAUCCAACAAACUAUAUUAACAACACAAGCACAAGAACAAUAAGAACAUAAAGUCUCAGUUUUGGGACACCAAACCCGAGAGUGAACAACAAUAAGAUAGAUAGAUAGAUAGAUAGAUAGAUAGAUAGAUAGAUAGAUAGAUAGAUAGAUAGAUAGAUAGAUAGAUAGAUAGAUAGAUAGAUAGAUAGAUAGAUAGAUAGAUAGAUAGAUAGAUAGAUAGAUAGAUAGAUAGAUAGAUAGAUAGAUAGAUAGAUAGAUAGAUAGAUAGAUAGAUAGAUAGAUAGAUAGAUAGAUAGAUAGAUAGAUAGAUAGAUAGAUAGAUAGAUAGAUAGAUAGAUAGAUAGAUAGAUAGAUAGAUAGAUAGAUAGAUAGAUAGAUAGAUAGAUAGAUAGAUAGAUAGAUAGAUAGAUAGAUAGAUACACCAAAAUAGUCCACAAGUUGGAAGAACCGAAAGAACACAAAGUCUCGGUUUUGGUAGAUAGAUAGAUAGAUAGAUAGAUAGAUAGAUAGAUAGAUAGAUAGAUAGAUAGAUAGAUAGAUACAAAUGUACAAACACUAUGAACCUAAGUUUAUAUUAAACAUAAAUACCCAAGAAUUUAUACAAAUAACAUCAAGUUCUUAUGGUAACCUCAAGAGAACAGAAUUCCCAAGCAACCAACGUUUCAAAACAAGCAACCCACACAAGAGAUUCCACACUUGUCACAAGUGAUAUCCAUACUCAUAUGAACACUCUCAAAUAGCUCUCAAAAUAUCAUCUAAUUUAUGAACAAAAUACCUAAUAUAUUUUAUUUAUAGUCUAGGUUAUAACUUAUUACAAAAUGACUAUAAUGCCCUUAAUGAACCAAGACAAAGGGGAAGCCUUCGAGUGUCCAUAUUGGAUGGAUUUAGAGUGUUGGUAGUUGUUCUCUACACUUCAAAGAUUGUUCCAUUGGUUGGGCAACCACCCGAGCUCCAGUCUUUAUGUAUUGGUCCACAAGCAUGAUCGUACUUGUAUCACAGGGUGUCCCAAAAUUUUUGGUACACAUAGGGAUGUAAGCCAUUAGGUCCAGGGGAUUUAUUAGAUUUGAAAGAGAAGAUAGCUUUUUUGAUCUCUUCAUAUGAGGGGAUGGCUUAAAGAAAGCUAUGAUUGGAAGAGCUGAUGGAUCCCAGGAAAGAGGGAUUUGGUUGGGUCCAGAGGUACCCUAAGGUAUGAUUAGAGCUAUAGAGAUUGGUAUAGUAGUUGGAGAUAGUAGUAGCAAUAUCCUUCUGAUGGUAGUGUCAAGUGCCACUAUUAUCCAUGGUGGAAUUGAUCAUAUUCUUUCUCCUCCUGUUGAGAGUGGAUGGAAGAAUCUAAUAUUAGAGUCCCCCUCAAGCAGCCAAGAGAUUAUGGACUUGAUCUUCCAGAAUUCAUUCUCUAAGUUGAGAAUGUGAUUGAAUUCCUUCAACAGGAUGUUUUCAAGUCCAUGGGGGGAAAGGGCAAGUAGGGUAGUUGGGAGACUUUUGAAUACCAGCUAACCUUACAAGCAAGUGCUUCUUCUUCCUGAAAAUAUUUCCAAAGGUGUGGUUAUUCUAGUCCCUAGCCUUGUCUUCAAAAUCAGAUGUGGCUGUAGUGACACAGGGAUAAUUAAGAAAGACUUCUUGGAUCAGGUUAGGGAAGUCCUGGUGGGUGAGCCACAUAGAUUCCACCCUGAAAGGCUUAAUUUGAUUUAUAGGGGGAUUUUCUAAGUUAAGGAGAAGGGGGGAGUGGUCAGAGUGAGUUCUAGGGAGAUGGGUAAUAGAGGUUUCAGGGUAAAAGUAGAUCCACAGGUUAUUGGCUAGACAUCUGUCAAGCCUUUCCAAAAUAAGACUUUAUCUAUUCCAAUAUUUCAUGUUGGACCAAGUAUAUUUUCUAUCCCUAAAACCUAAAUCAAUGAGCUGACAGUGAUUUAGGCAGUUCAUAAACAUGUUAGUUCUUUAUAGGUUGAUCAUAGAACCUCCAAACUUUUCAGAGGCUCUCAGCAACUCAUUGAAAUCCCCUCCAACUAACCAGCUCUUACCCUCAGUGGUAAUGUAGGUAUCAGAGAAGGAGGAGAGCUAGUCCCAGAGACUAACCCUAGAGCUGAAAUCAGUGCUAGCAUAGAUGAUACUAAUAAACCAAGAAGAAUAAGGAGAUCUAACCUUGACUUUUGUAUGAAUGGCUUAAGAGAAAUUGGAAAUAGAGGUGAUAAAGAUAGAGUCCUCCGUCUACAUGAUGACAGGGCCUCUAGAGUUGCCAUUGUCCUCAAACUCAAUGUGGAAUGGCCUCAGACUCAAUGUGGUGGUGAUAUCCUAGCUCUUCACAAAGGUCCUGAUGAUCAGUCAUCUUAUUUUUACCAAUACCAAGAUGUAAGGUUGAUAAAUAUUGACCAUGGAUUUGCAAUUCUUUCUGAAUUUAGUAUUCUUGGCCCCCCAGCAUUCCACAUUAUGCAGUUCUUUAUUAUCGAGUGGAGAGGGUGGGGUGGCUCUAGUACUGUCACCUUGUCUUUUUUCUUAGGGUUAGAGGUGAGUGUUAAUGAGGGGGGCUUUUUUUCUGUUGAAUGAGCUCAAGGUGACCCUGAGUAUCUCUUCUAUCAUAGGGUUUAUUGUACUGAUUCUUAGACCUAGUCCUGCUAACCCUAGUAGAAUCAGGAUGAUUACAAUCUCCUGAACUGGCUCUGUGAACUCUAGAUUUAGAGGUUCUACCAUGUUGAGAAUCUCUGAUCAUGGGACUCUGAGAUUGGAUAGGAACUCCUCCAUAUCCAUGUUGAUGGUUCUCAAUGCCUCCAAGGUAUUUAAUCUCUCCGCCCUCUCCAGAGUGAGAUGGAGAGAUGAUGUGGUUGAUAGCGGAGUUGGUGACUAGGUUGGAGAGAUUUAGAGCCCUCCAAAGGAAGGUGCAAAAGAUGGUCCCAGGAGAAUCAUUGUAGGGUUCUGAGGAGGAAAGAAGGGGAGGCUGAGGCUCAAAUUAUUCAUGAUGUUGGCUUAGUAUUCUGUGGUCAAUUUCUCUUAAAAGGGUGAGUUGAUCACAUAAAAUAGGGUGUCCAUCCAGACGUUGGACCCAUAUGUUUGGAGCCCCUGAUUUAGGGUUGCCAUUAUCAGUUGUGCAAGGUAUUGGGGGUCCUGAAUGAGGAUGGUAAACUGUCUCCCCUCUCAUUGUAGGUGUAGGGGUAUAGUUUGGUUGGAUAGACAAACUUCCAACCAUGACGUUGGCUGGUGAUUCGGGGAUAGCGGAGUUAUUGUGAUGGUAACUUUAUUGGAGUUUGAGGUGUCCAUGGCAAUUUUUUUAUGAAAUUAGCUAUGUUCUCCUCAGGAUAUAUAGAGUGGGAGGAGGUGGGGGAGAGAAUCUGGGAGGUUUUCCCAUGGAAAUACCACCAGCAUUUAAUGCUCUGUCUAAUCCUUGAACAACCUCCAUCAUAUCACUGCAGAAAGUGGAAAGGUUUCCCGCCGCCAGGGCUCUAAGCUCAUUAUUGCCCAAGUCCAAGUGGCUGGAAGGGGCCCCACUAAUAGGAGCUUCAUUCUUUUUUAUUCCCAUAGGGAAAUUUAAUUUAACAAAAAGGGAAAUUAAGAGAAGGGGGUUUGGGUUUCUCAGAGUCCCAUUGGGCCUUAAGGGUAGGCCCAUAGAUAAUAGAAGAACUGGGCAGUUGCCCCAUUAGGAGGGUUUUUUGGCCCUUAACGGCAUUUUAUGGGUGGGCCUGAUUACUAUUAGGCUUCUUGCCCGCAGUGGUAGGCCUUGAGGAUUCUCCUUAGGCCUGAACCUCUUUGGGGUUUACCUUUGGGAGAGGCCUGAUGGUCUCUCCCGACGCCGUCACCGGUAGAUCAAGGUUUAGGAACUUAAUAUGAGGCUGCAUCAUAGGAUUUAACCUUGAUGAUGGGAUCUUCCUUCGGUUGUUGCUGCUUUUUAGGCCUCGAUUUCUUCUUCUUGGCAAAUUUCAUUAUUUGCCAUUCUAAUCGUUGCUCGAUCGAAGGUUUGUACUCCGACGUAGGGGAGGUGGUCGUUGAUGUUGUUUCCUCACAUGCGCCAUCAUCCUUGUUUGACUUCAGCGGAUAUGAACAGAUAUUUGAUGUGUGACCAAGACGACUAUAGUUUUUGCACAGGAGGCCCUCCCCUUCGUAGAGGAGGGGCUAAUUAUGGUGAUUAAUGGAGAUUGAAGCUAUCACUGGGGUAUUUAGGGGAAUCUGAACACAGAUUCUAGCGUAUCUUCCUCGUAGUGUUACCGAUGUGCAUGCAUCUACUUUUAGCAGUGAACUAAUUUUAGUGCCGAUUCGAUGAAGGAUUGAGGCAUUGUAUACCUCUAUGAGCAGGUGUGAAAGCCUGAUCCAUAUGGCUGUUGAAUCCACUUUUUAGUGGCUUGGAACGAAAUUAGGUUCUCAUUUCCUUACAAAUAUGAAGCUGCCAGCAAUGAACCAAGGUCCCCCAAGUAGGAUGGAGGCUUGGCUUUCCGAUUUUGAAAGCUUCACUGUGAAGAAACCCAGCCCCAGAUCUAUGAGGCAUAGGGGUUCUGCUAAUUUCCAAAGGUCAUCCAACUUUUUCUUCAGGUAUUGAUGGUUAAAAUUCCCUUUGAUGGGCUUGAUGAUGAUAGGGUGGAUCCAAGGCGCAUAUAAUCGAAUUUCAUCUUCCUUCGAUAAGAGGAUUUCCUUUUCAUCCAGUUGUGAACCUUGAUUUUUGCUGGGGUCCAAAGUUCCCAAAGGGGUUUUUGGUGGGUGAAUUUUUCCAGCUACAAUAUCUUUGUAAGAAGGUAGAGUUUUUGCCAUGAGAAUCUCUUUAGGAGAAUUGGCUAUUGGGGGGUUUGGUAGGAGAGGUGGGGUUAAAGUGACAUCCAUGGCUGAGUUGGUGCCGAUGGUGGAAGAGGAGGGUAGAGAGAGAGGGAGUCUGUUUCUCUCUUGAACAAUACAAUUCACUUGCAACCCGUUCACUUUUAAGUAUGCACAAAAAGGGCAACUUGAAGUCAUUUUCUCAUUGAGCUUAUUCAUUUUUCUUUGUACUACUCAAAAUUAUUGCACAAGGAUUAUUGUUCUCUUAUCAUCUUCAGGAGCUUAGUCAAUUUUAAUCUCCCAAGUCCCAAUCGUAUCAUCAACACUCCACAUCACUAAAGUUCUGACUAAAAAAUUAUUGUACUAUAAGAGUAAUUUGAACAAAUUAUAUUAGGUUAUUUUUUGUAUACUCGAACAAAUUAUAUCAGGUUACUUCUUUCCAGAGUUAUUGCAUCGUGCUUUGUAUAUUGUAAUGAACAUGGACUUGUUAUUGUAAAACUAACUCAAACUUGAUAACUUUAAUACUAGCGAGGUUUUCAAUGAAGCCUUCCUCCCUUAUUCAUUCUGCCUUAUUUUUCUUUAAUUUAGAGAAGUAGGCAUAAUUAAGUUCUACAAAACAUGUAUAUUGAACCAAGUAUAAAGAAAUAUUUGGGAACAGCAUGACUUAAAACUUAUGGUAUACAAUUUUUAGAGUUAAUACAUAAAAAUGACCCUAAACUUGACACCAAAUUAUAACUUUGACCUUAAACUUUGAUAGUACACAACUUUGAUAGUACACAAAUAGGAUAUUUAACUAUUCAAAACCUGAACAAAUAUGACCUUCGAUUUUGCAACCCCAUGUGUGAGUCUCACUCGCGCCUACGUGGAAAGGUAAUUCAAUCACACGGUUCUACGUCGUUAAAAGGGCUGACUUGGAGAGAGGUCAUAUUUGUCCAAUUUAGAAUAGUUAAAGGUCAUAUUUGUGCACUGUCAAAGUUUUGUUUUUUGUGUUAAAACGACGUCGUUUUUAUUAUUAUUACUAUUAUUAUUGUAAUAAUAAUUUUUUUAUUUAUUUCUAUAGUAGCAGCGCGUAACUUUUUUUAAAUUUAAAAUUAUUGUUAUUAUUAUUAUUAUUAUUAUUAUAUUUAUUUCUUUGGCAGGAGCACCUAACUUUUUUUUAAUUAAAAAAAAAGCCACUAGCAGGGAUCGAACCUGCACAUUAGGCUGAAGGAAGCGCCCAAAAAAAGCAAAUAACACCACUGGGCUAUCUAAGUGUCUUAUUUCAUGUGGUUUAACAUUAAUAUACGUACAUAAAUAUACAUUUUCUAUCUUAUAGAUAUACAACGUAAUUUUUUUACCGAGGAGUUCAGGCGAACCCCAUGGCAACCACGUAGGUCCGCCCUUGCAUUAAAUUAAUAAUGUUUUAAUAACAUUAAUUUAAUAACAUUGUAAUAACGUUAAUUUAAUAUAAUACUACUACUAUCCUUAAUAACGUUAAUUUAAUAACGUUUUAUUAAAACUAUAAUUUUUUUAUUAUUAGUAUAGUUUCAUCUUUAAUUUAAUAUUUAAAUAAAUAAUAUUUAGAUAUAUUAUAUAACUUAAAUUCGUCCUCUGCUUCCGACCACUCCCCCUCCUCCGGUGCCGGCGGGAUACAACAGCCCCCUCACCCCACCUCGGUCUCCAUCCAGUCGCCGCUCGGUCUCCAGCCGCCGAUUCGGUCUCCAACAGCCGAAGCUCGGUCUCCAGCCGCAGCUCCGCCUGCACCCGCCGCUCGGUCGCCAGCAGCCGCAGCACCCAAACGACGACCAGUUCCCUCGGUCUCCAGCAGCCGCAACUCCAUCUCAGCACCGGAAUCCCCCGGAACCCGGUCAACGCUGGGCUUUGGUUUCCGGCUUGGUUUUCAAGCGCAACCCGAUGACUUUUAACCUUUGUUAUUUCAUUCUUCGUAUUAUGCUAGUAGUAGCC